AUUGAACGCUGGCGGCAGGCCUAACACAUGCAAGUCGAACGGUAACAGGAAGCAGCUUGCUGCUUCGCUGACGAGUGGCGGACGGGUGAGUAAUGUCUGGGAAACUGCCUGAUGGAGGGGGAUAACUACUGGAAACGGUAGCUAAUACCGCAUAACGUCGCAAGACCAAAGAGGGGGACCUUAGGGCCUCUUGCCAUCGGAUGUGCCCAGAUGGGAUUAGCUAGUAGGUGGGGUAACGGCUCACCUAGGCGACGAUCCCUAGCUGGUCUGAGAGGAUGACCAGCCACACUGGAACUGAGACACGGUCCAGACUCCUACGGGAGGCAGCAGUGGGGAAUAUUGCACAAUGGGCGCAAGCCUGAUGCAGCCAUGCCGCGUGUAUGAAGAAGGCCUUCGGGUUGUAAAGUACUUUCAGCGGGGAGGAAGGGAGUAAAGUUAAUACCUUGGCUCACUGACGUUACCCGCAGAAGAAGCACCGGCUAACUCCGUG
rnacentral:rRNA from 1 species